GACGAACGCUGGCGGCGUGCCUAAUACAUGCAAGUUGAGCGCUGAAGGUUGGUACUUGUACCAACUGGAUGAGCAGCGAACGGGUGAGUAACGCGUGGGGAAUCUGCCUUUGAGCGGGGGACAACAUUUGGAAACGAAUGCUAAUACCGUAUAAAAACUUUAAACACAAGUUUUAAGUUUGAAAGAUGCAAUUGCAUCACUCAAAGAUGAUCCCGCGUUGUAUUAGCUAGUUGGUGAGGUAAAGGCUCACCAAGGCGAUGAUACAUAGCCGACCUGAGAGGGUGAUCGGCCACAUUGGGACUGAGACACGGCCCAAACUCCUACGGGAGGCAGCAGUAGGGAAUCUUCGGCAAUGGACGAAAGUCUGACCGAGCAACGCCGCGUGAGUGAAGAAGGUUUUCGGAUCGUAAAACUCUGUUGGUAGAGAAGAACGUUGGUGAGAGUGGAAAGCUCAUCAAGUGACGGUAACUACACAGAAAGGGACGGCUAACUACGUG
rnacentral:rRNA from 1 species